rnacentral:rRNA from 1 species
GACGAACGCUGGCGGCGUGCCUAAUACAUGCCAGUAGAACGCACAGUUUAUACCGUAGCUUGCUCCACCAUAGACUGUGAGUUGCGAACGGGUGAGUAACGCGUAGGUAACCUGCCUGGUAGCGGGGGAUAACUAUUGGAAACGAUAGCUAAUACCGCAUAAUAUUAAUUAUUGCAUGAUAAUUAAUUGAAAGGUGCAAUUGCACCACUACCAGAUGGACCUGCGUUGUAUUAGCUAGUAGGUGAGGUAACGGCUCACCUAGGCGACGAUACAUAGCCGACCUGAGAGGGUGAUCGGCCACACUGGGACUGAGACACGGCCCAGACUCCUACGGGAGGCAGCAGUAGGGAAUCUUCGGCAAUGGACGAAAGUCUGACCGAGCAACGCCGCGUGAGUGAAGAAGGGUUUCGGAUCGUAAAGCUCUGUUGUAAGAGAAGAACGGGUGUGAGAGUGGAAAGUUCACACUGUGACGGUAUCUUACCAGAAAGGGACGGCUAACUACGUG